rnacentral:rRNA from 1 species
UACAGGGGGGGCAAGCGUUGUUCGGAAUUACUGGGCGUAAAGGGUUCGUAGGUGGCCACCUAAGUCAGACGUGAAAUCCCUCAGCUUAACUGGGGAACUGCGUCUGAUACUGGGUGGCUUGAGUGCAGGAGAGGGAUGCGGAAUUCCAGGUGUAGCGGUGAAAUGCGUAGAGAUUAGGAAGAACACCAGUGGCGAAGGCGACUUACUGGACUGUAACUGACGCUGAGGCAUGAAAGCGUGGGGAGCAAACAGG